CCUACGGGAGGCAGCAGUGGGGAAUAUUGCACAAUGGGCGCAAGCCUGAUGCAGCGACGCCGCGUGAGGGAUGACAGCCUUCGGGUUGUAAACCUCUUUCAGCAGGGAAGAAGCGCGAGUGACGGUACCUGCAGAAGAAGCACCGGCUAACUACGUGCCAGCAGCCGCGGUAADACGUAGGGUGCGAGCGUUGUCCGGAAUUAUUGGGCGUAAAGAGCUCGUAGGCGGCCUGUCGCGUCGGAUGUGAAAGCCCGGGGCUUAACCCCGGGUCUGUAUUCGAUACGGGCAGGCUAGAGUUCGGCAGGGGAAAUUGNAAUUCCUGGUGAAGCGGUGAAAUGCCCAGAUAUCAGNAGGAACACCGGUGGCGAAGGGGAUCUUUGGGCCGAUACUGAUGCUAGGAGCGAAAGCGUGGGGAGCGAACAGGAUUAGAUACCCUGGUAGUCCACGCCGUAAACGUUGGGCACUAGGUGUGGGCGGCAUUCCACGUCGUGCGUGCCGCAGCUAACGCAUUAAGUGCCCCGCCUGGGGAGUACGGCCGCAAGGCUAAAACUUAAAGGAAUUGACGG
rnacentral:rRNA from 1 species